UCUUAUGGAUGAGCAAAGAAAGUGGUCUCUUCAAAUGGAAUCUACUCCUGGUGAAGAUGCUGUGAA
rnacentral:pre_miRNA from 1 species